rnacentral:rRNA from 1 species
AGUGAACGCUGGCGGUAGGCCUAACACAUGCAAGUCGAACGGCAGCACAGUAAGAGCUUGCUCUUACGGGUGGCGAGUGGCGGACGGGUGAGGAAUACAUCGGAAUCUACUUUUUCGUGGGGGAUAACGUAGGGAAACUUACGCUAAUACCGCAUACGACCUACGGGUGAAAGCAGGGGAUCUUCGGACCUUGCGCGAUUGAAUGAGCCGAUUUCGGAUUAGCUAGUUGGCGGGGUAAAGGCCCACCAAGGCGACGAUUCGUAGCUGGUCUGAGAGGAUGAUCAGCCGCACUGGAACUGAGACACGUUCCAGACUCCUAGGCGAGGCAGCAGUGGGGAAUAUUGGUCAAUGGGGGCAAGCCUGAUCCAGCCAUACCGCGUGGGUGAAGAAGGCCUUCGGGUUGUAAAGCCCUUUUGUUGGGAAAGAAAAGCAGCAGGUUAAUACCCCGCUGUUCUGACGGUACCCAAAGAAUAAGCCCCGGCUAACUUCGUG